rnacentral:rRNA from 2 species
GCAGUCGACGACUCUGGUAUUGAUUGGUGCUUGCAUCAUGAUUUACAUUUGAGUGAGUGGCGAACUGGUGAGUAACACGUGGGAAACCUGCCCAGAAGCGGGGGAUAACACCUGGAAACAGAUGCUAAUACCGCAUAACAACUUGGACCGCAUGGUCCGAGUUUGAAAGAUGGCUUCGGCUAUCACUUUUGGAUGGUCCCGCGGCGUAUUAGCUAGAUGGUGGGGUAACGGCUCACCAUGGCAAUGAUACGUAGCCGACCUGAGAGGGUAAUCGGCCACAUUGGGACUGAGACACGGCCCAAACUCCUACGGGAGGCAGCAGUAGGGAAUCUUCCACAAUGGACGAAAGUCUGAUGGAGCAACGCCGCGUGAGUGAAGAAGGGUUUCGGCUCGUAAAACUCUGUUGUUAAAGAAGAACAUAUCUGAGAGUAACUGUUCAGGUAUUGACGGUAUUUAACCAGAAAGCCACGGCUAACUACGUGCCAGCAGCCGCGGUAAUACGUAGGUGGCAAGCGUUGUCCGGAUUUAUUGGGCGUAAAGCGAGCGCAGGCGGUUUUUUAAGUCUGAUGUGAAAGCCUUCGGCUCAACCGAAGAAGUGCAUCGGAAACUGGGAAACUUGAGUGCAGAAGAGGACAGUGGAACUCCAUGUGUAGCGGUGAAAUGCGUAGAUAUAUGGAAGAACACCAGUGGCGAAAGCGGCUGUCUGGUCUGUAACUGACGCUGAGGCUCGAAAGUAUGGGUAGCAAACAGGAUUAGAUACCCUGGUAGUCCAUACCGUAACGAUGAUGCUAAGUGUUGGAGGGUUUCGCCCUUCAGUGCUGCAGCUACGCAUAGCAUUCGCCUGGGGAGUACGCCGCAAGGCUGAAACUCAAAGGGAA